rnacentral:rRNA from 1 species
GAUGAACGCUAGCGGGAGGCCUAACACAUGCAAGCCGAGCGGUAUUGUUUCUUCGGAAAUGAGAGAGCGGCGUACGGGUGCGUAACACGUGUGCAACCUGCCUUUAUCUGGGGGAUAGCCUUUCGAAAGGACGAUUAAUACUCCAUAAUAUAUUGAACGGCAUCGUUUAAUAUUGAAAGCUCCGGCGGCUACAGAUGGGCACGCCCAAGAUUAGCUAGUUGGUGAGGUAACGGCUCACCAAGGCGAUGAUCUUUAGGGGGCCUGAGAGGGUUAUCCCACACACUGGGACUGAGACACGGACCAGACUCGUACUGGAGGCAGCGGUAAGGAAUAUUGGGCAAUGGGUGCAAGCCUGAACCAGCCAUCCCGCGUGAAGGACGACUGCCCUAUGGGUUGUAAACUUCUUUUGUAUAGGGAUAAACCUACCCUCGAGAGGGUAGCUGAAGGUACUAUACGAAUAAGCACCGGCUAACUCCGUG